GACGAACGCUGGCGGCGUGCUUAACACAUGCAAGUCGAACGGAAAGGCCCUGCUUUUGUGGGGUGCUCGAGUGGCGAAAGGGUGAGUAACACGUGAGUAACCUGCCCUUGACUUUGGGAUAACUUCAGGAAACUGGGGCUAAUAACGGAUAGGAGCUCCUGCUGCAUGGUGGGGGUUGGAAAGUUUCGGCGGUUGGGGAUGGACUCGCGGCUUAUCAGCUUGUUGGUGGGGUAGUGGCUUACCAAGGCUUUGACGGGUAGCCGGCCUGAGAGGGUGACCGGCCACAUUGGGACUGAGAUACGGCCCAGACUCCUACGGGAGGCAGCAGUGGGGAAUAUUGCACAAUGGGCGGAAGCCUGAUGCAGCAACGCCGCGUGCGGGAUGACGGCCUUCAGGUUGUAAACCGCUUUCGCCUGUGACGAAGCGUGAGUGACGGUAAUGGGUAAAGAAGCACCGGCUAACUACGUG
rnacentral:rRNA from 1 species